rnacentral:rRNA from 1 species
GACCUCGGAUCAGGUAGGAAUACCCGCUGAACUUAAGCAUAUCAAUAAGCGGAGGAAAAGAAACCAACAGGGAUUGCCUCAGUAACGGCGAGUGAAGCGGCAAAAGCUCAAAUUUGAAAUCUGACCCUUCGGGUCCGAGUUGUAAUUUGCAGAGGAUGUUUCGGGUAAGAUUUAGGUCUAAGUUCCUUGGAACAGGACGUCAUAGAGGGUGAGAAUCCCGUACGUGACCGUUGAUCGCACCCAUGUGAAACUCCUUCGACGAGUCGAGUUGUUUGGGAAUGCAGCUCAAAAUGGGUGGUAAAUUUCAUCUAAAGCUAAAUAUUGGCCAGAGACUGAUAGCGCACAAGUAGAGUGAUCGAAAGAUGAAAAGCACUUUGAAAAGAGAGUUAAACAGUAUGUGAAAUUGUUGAAAGGGAAGCGC